UGCUCCUACAAUGUUUGGCUGUCGUCUGAAAAGUUGCAUUUUCUUAUCAGUUUAAUUUAGUAAACAUUUUUAAUUAAAUUGCCGUUCCUCCAGAUUUUUAAAUAAAUGUUCACAUGUGAGACUUUGUCAACUGCCUCUCUCCAGGGCCUCCCUUAACUUCAGUAAGCACAACAAUGAAGUAUUAGACCAAGAAAUAGAGACCUUGUAAGCCCACGUCUUUCAGUAACAAUGUAAAUUACUUGGACUAUUCAUUCAAUGUAAAUCACCUGGGACACUUAAUGGAACAGAAUUCAACCAUCCACAACCAUCUGUUGCCACAUGGAUCAAAAUACUACAAAAUGUAACCACUGCUCCAGUGCCAUAUAACAUGUAUGGUCUUACCAUACGGGGCCAGGAAAAUCCAGCAGAUGCAU